ncrna:unclassified sequences RAGATH-18 RNA
CCUGUGGAGCGUCAUAAAAAACGCAAGUAGUAUUGACAAAAGCGGACGCGCUGAAGCAGGAA